AUGGUGAUGGGAAACUAUCCAGUGAAGCUUUCAUUAUAUAAGGAGGUUUUUCUGGUUCUAGCCUGGCCCUUGUUCCUCUCCUCCGGGCCUGGCCUGGCCCUUGUUCCUCUCCUCCGGAUCUGGCCCUUGUUCCUCUCCUCCGGAUCUGGCCCUUGUUCCUCUCCUCCGGAUCUGGCCCUUGUUCCUCUCCUCCGGAUCUGGCCCUUGUUCCUCUCCUCCGGAUCUGGCCUGGCCCUUGUUCCUCUCCUCCGGGCCUGGCCUGGCCCUUGUUCCUCUCCUCCGGAUCUGGCCCUUGUUCCUCCCCUCCGGAUCUGGCCCUUGUUCCUCUCCUCCGGGUCUGGCCCUUGUUCCUCUCCUCCGGGCCUGGCCUGGCCCUUGUUCCUCUCCUCCGGAUCUGGCCCUUGUUCCUCUCCUCCGGAUCUGACCCUGGUUCCUCUCCUCCGGGCCUGACCCUUGUUCCUCUCCUCCGGAUUUGGCCCUUGUUCCUCUCCUCCGGAUCUGGCCCUUGUUCCUCUCCUCCGGAUCUGGCCCUUGUUCCUCUCCUCCGGAUCUGGCCCUUGUUCCUCUCCUCCGGGUCUGACCCUGGUUCCUCUCCUCCGGGCCUGACCCUUGUUCCUCUCCUCCAGAUCUGGCCCUUGUUCCUCUCCUCCGGAUCUGGCCCUUGUUCCUCUCCUCCGGAUCUAGCCCUUGUUCCUCUCCUCCGGGUCUGACCCUUGUUCCUCUCCUCCGGAUCUGGCCCUUGUUCCUCUCCUCCGGAUCUGGCCCUUGUUCCUCUCCUCCGGAUCUGGCCCUUGUUCCUCUCCUCCGGAUCUGGCCCUUGUUCCUCUCCUCUGGGUCUGACCCUGGUUCCUCUCCUCCGGGUCUGACCCUGGUUCCUCUCCUCCGGGUCGUUCCUCUCCUCCGGGUCUGACCCUGGUUCCUCUCCUCCGGAUCUGGCCCUUGUUCCUCUCCUCCGGAUCUGGCCCUUGUUCCUCUCCUCCGGGUCUGACCCUGGUUCCUCUCCUCCGGGUCUGACCCUGGUUCCUCUCCUCCGGGCCUGGCCUGGCUUUGUUUCCUCUCCUCCGGGCCUGGCCUGGUCUUGUUUCCUCUCCCCCGGGCCUGACCUGGCCCUGUUUCCUCUCCUCCGGGGCUGGCCUAGCACUGUAUCUAUCAAUGCAUUCCUCCCUCUUCACUCUUUCGCUAACCCCCUCCCUCCUUCCCUCUUAAUCAGUGUGUCACAUGUCCACAUUGUGUCUGAGCACGUGCACAUCGUUGUUUGCGUGUACAGUAAGUGUCAUACAGUCAACGUGUUUCUGUAAUAGUUGUUUUGUUUCAUCUCUGUCCUGUUUGUAUGUCUGUCUUGGAAACAGAAAGCUAUGAUGAAAGCAUCACUAAAUAGAAUAAUACUUUGUACUGAUCUUGAGAAAUGUAUGGUCAUAUUAAAGUAUAUAUUUCACAUGGCCUUGCGUCAUUCUGGUUAUUACAUUUUGUCAAGUUGAUUCAACCAUGUUCUGCUGCCAAAUCCUCGGCCGGUAGAUGAGAGUAAAGUGAAACACUCAAAGCAUCCCAUUUUGAGAUGUAAGGUCUGUUGUCUUUUUGCUAUUCACUUUAGACCAGUAUUAAAAUGUCUAACAUUAACAGUCAUUAACAGUCAGUUGUUUAUUGGGUCUUGGUUUCUACCGAUGUUCCUUUCAGAAUCCGCUACUGUGCUGUGACUUCCUGCCUUUAAGUUAGAAGGGAUUUCAAAUAAGGGUUUUUAAGGUAUUAGGGUUCAAAUAAGGGUUUUCAAUGUAUUAGGGUUCAAAUAUGGAUUUCCAAGGUGUUAGGGUUCAAAUAUGGAUUUCCAAGGUGUUAGGGUUCAAAUAUGGAUUCCCCAAGGUGUUAGGGUUCAAAUAUGGAUUCCCCAAGGUGUUAGGGUUCAAAUAUGGAUUUCCAAGGUGUUAGGGUUCAAAUAUGGAUUUCCAAGGUGUUAGGGUUCAAAUAUGGAUUUCCAAGGUGUUAGGGUUCAAAUAUGGAUUUCCAAGGUGUUAGGGUUCAAAUAUGGAUUUCAAAGGUAUUAGGGUUCAAAUAUGGAUUCCCCAAGGUGUUAGGGUUCAAAUAUGGAUUUCCAAGGUGUUAGGGUUCAAAUAUGGAUUUCCAAGGUGUUAGGGUUCAAAUAUGGAUUUCCAAGGUGUUAGGGUUCAAAUAUGGAUUCCCCAAGGUGUUAGGGUUCAAAUAUGGAUUUCCAAGGUGUUAGGGUUCAAAUAUGGAUGUCCAAGGUGUUAGGGUUCAAAUAUGGAUUUUAAAGGUAUUAGGGUUCAAAUAUGGAUUCCCCAAGGUGUUAGGGUUCAAAUAUGGAUUUCCAAGGUGUUAGGGUUCAAAUAUGGAUUUCCAAGGUGUUAGGGUUCAAAUAAGGGUUUUCAAGGUGUUAGGGUUCAAAUAUGGAUUUCCAAGGUGUUAGGGUUCAAAUAUGGAUGUCCAAGGUGUUAGGGUUCAAAUAUGGAUUUCCAAGGUGUUAGGGUUCAAAUAUGGAUUUCCAAGGUGUUAGGGUUUAAAUAUGGAUGUCCAAGGUGUUAGGGUUCAAAUAUGGAUUUCCAAGGUAUUAGGGUUAAUCUAUCUUUGCUAUGGAAAAGUUGGAGCAAAGCAACAAAAGACAGGAAAGAUGGGAAGUGUUCCUGGCUCUGCAGAGUUUGGGGAAUAUUUUUAGGAUGUGGGAAUCUCCCAGUGCUUGGCACAGCUUCGGGGACAUUCCAGAACGACAGCCCUCAUCAUUUUAACUCUGUGGAGUAGCCUGCUACCUUUCUUUUCUUUCUUUUUACGCUCCGUAACACCAAUUACCCCACUGAAGACAUUCUUUUAAAAAGUAUACUCUUCCAUUACAGACUUUAUAUGGGCAAAUAAAACUCAUGGAAUAAAAUGGAACGUUUUACGUCUUCCUAAAUCUGAGGGUGAUUUAAAACAUCCAGACUUGGAAUUGUAUCAACUUGCCACCCAAGGCUUUUACUACAGACAUAUAGUUAAAUGCACUAAAGAGGAACAAUGGGUACAUAUUGAAGAUGCUCAUCCUCAUCCUCAUAAUCUUUUUACGUGUUUGUUUUCAAAAGAUUAAGCUAAGAACAUUAACAACUUCAUAGUUAAGAACCUCAUAACAAUAUGGAAGAACAUGAACAACUUCAUAGUUAAGAACCUCAUAACAAUAUGGAAGAACAUUAACAACUUCAUAGUUAAGAACCUCAUAACAAUAUGGAAGAACAUUAACAACUUCAUAGUUAAGAACCUCAUAACAAUAUGGAAGAACAUUAACAACUUCAUAGUUAAGAACCUCAUAACAAUAUGAAAGAACAUUAACAACUUCAUAGUUAACAACACCAUAACAAUAUGGAAGAACAUUAACAACUUCAUAGUUAACAACACCAUAACAAUAUGGAAGAACAUUAACAACUUCAUAGUUAAGAACCUC
rnacentral:lncRNA from 1 species